ACACUCUCUCUCGAACUUGAACUUGCCAGAGAGAACUCAGGCACUGACUGUGACGACGCGGGUGGGGAGAGACUGUGCACCUACACGUGUCACUUCACAAGAAAAUGCAGGUCCAGAAAGAAAAAUUUUUCCUGAGUACUAGACAGAAGAGUGCCACUAGGAGAUAGGAGUUUACAUGCUGAUCCAUUAACACAGACAAAAAGCAAGAACCUAAUACCCAAGUAAAAUUCCUGCAAGGAAAAAUGAUUAAGGAACACAGUGCCUCGUUCCAGAAGAGAUGACUGCCAAGCAUUUGGCCCUCUCUGCCUUGACAAAUAGAAACAAAGCCCAGUGAUUACUGAGACCAUCUGGCAUUGGCACUCUUGCACACCCAUGCAGAGCUCUUGAUGGGACCCGUCUACCUUUGAGUGGAGCCCCCACCAACCCAGUUUCCUAGAGACCCUUCAACUGGCCACCAAGGCCACCUUCCCCGUGAGCCCCACUUUACCACUUGAGUUACAGGUCUUGGUAACAUCCUUCCCAACUCCCCAUUUGCCAAUUAGACCCUAUGGCAAAAUGCACGACCACUGGCCAGAGGACCCUGCUGCACUUUGAGACCCAUAAGCUCCCAGCAUUGGCUAAAAAUUAUACACCCUUUCAGAGAAAAUUACUGUCCUGUUCUUGGGCUUUUGUAAAUAUUGAACACGUAAUCCAUGGUUGUAAAAUAAUCUUAAAAUUCCAAAUCCCUAUUAUAUUGUGAGUCUAAAAAAAGUCUCAAAAUACUAAGUGGGAACAACUCAGAUAUUUUCUAUAGUAAAACAAAAAUGAUACCCACAAGAGCAGGCAUGACUUAGGCUAGCUGGGAUACUGCAACUUCAUGGAAAGAUCUCAGGAGUGUCCCUUCACCUCCGCUGCACAUCACCUAAGGAGAUGCUGUCUCCACUGGCUCAGAUAUAGAGACCUCUCUUACCACACGUGGGCCUGCUUCACUGAUGGCUCCUCCCAGGUAACCUUUGCUGGGCUGGAACAGGGUGUGCCUGUCAUCUGGCCUAAAAGAAGCCUGUCUCUUACAGAGCAUGGUAAGGGAUAUUCAGCUCCAUGGCAGAGCUUUGUGGGGUUCUGAUGGCUAUACAGGCCACCCACAAAGGAGCCCUGUUGUGGUUUCGUGGACUCAUGGGCUGUGGCUCAGCCCCAGACUGACGUCAAACAAGCCACCCUGUGGGGAUGAGACAUUUAUAUAAAAAUUAGCUCCACUCCUAAUAAACGUUUUGUUGCCAAUGUAAAUAGUCUCUAAAAAGGCUGCUGAGCCAACAAGAGAAAACAUAAGCAAUGAGCAGACUGCUUGCCAAGGAAAUGAGGAGACUGAAGUGUCUGCCCCAGAGCGAGCAGAUGUGUGACUGUUCGCCUCCUGGAUCCACAGGAAGGUGGCCCAGGCAUAUCCAGACACUUGGUAGACUCGGCAUCCAGCCACAAUGGCCACUGUCCUCAGAAGCUGCUGGAUCAGCAUAGAAAAGCCAUACUCCUUGCCAGACUCUGGCCUAGGCUACAAACACGGCCCAGGCAUUCUUGGCAGGUGGAUCCCACUGGGCCCUUCUUCCCACCUUUGGGGCUCCUCUGGAUGCUGACUGUGGUUGACACUUUCUCCAAGUUCAGCCUCACCAUCUCCAAACGUUUCACUGGCCUGGGCCACACUAUUCAGGCCCUACAAGAUCACGUUUGUUUCCUGAUCAGGUUUCCUCAACACAUUGCAUCUGAUGAUAGCCAAUCAUGGGGCAUGGAGUGGACUGUCUUAUCUCUACAUCACUCCCAAGUUGCAGAGAUGAUGAAAUAUUUUAAUAAACGAUUUACAAACAGGCUUAAGUGGCUGCUAAGAGGAGACUAACCCCAACCUGCAGUACACAUCUCAGGUGAGCAGUGCCCCAAGAGGGCACUUCUCAGCUGUGGCACAUAGUUGGAUGGGCCUGGCUGCCCAUCCUUUACCUGUGUGCCCUCCUACAGUCACUGGCCCUGUGGUUUCCGUGGAAGACCCAGCAGGGGCCUUCUAUCCCCUUUGAC
rnacentral:lncRNA from 10 species